AUUGAACGCUGGCGGCAUGCCUUACACAUGCAAGUCGAACGGCAGCACGGGAGCAAUCCUGGUGGCGAGUGGCGAACGGGUGAGUAAUAUAUCGGAACGUGCCCAGUAGUGUGGGAUAACUGCUCGAAAGAGCAGCUAAUACCGCAUACGACCUGAGGGUGAAAGGGGGGGAUCGCAAGACUUCCCGCUAUUGGAGCGGCCGAUAUCAGAUUAGCUAGUUGGUGGGGUAAAGGCUUACCAAGGCAACGAUAUGUAGGUGGUCUGAGAGGACGACCAGCCACACUGGGACUGAGACACGGCCCAGACUCCUACGGGAGGCAGCAGUGGGGAAUUUUGGACAAUGGGCGCAAGCCUGAUCCAGCAAUGCCGCGUGCAGGAAGAAGGCCUUCGGGUUGUAAACUGCUUUUGUCAGGGAAGAAAUCCUCUAGGUUAAUACCCUUGGGGGGAUGACGGUACCUGAAGAAUAAGCACCGGCUAACUACGUGCCAGCCGCCGCGGUAACAC
rnacentral:rRNA from 1 species